AUUGAACGCUGGCGGCAUGCUUUACACAUGCAAGUCGAACGGUAACAGGUUAAGCUGACGAGUGGCGAACGGGUGAGUAAUGCAUCGGAACGUGCCCAGUCGUGGGGGAUAACACUUCGAAAGAAGUGCUAUUACCGCAUACGAUCUGAGGAUGAAAGCGGGGGACCGUAAGGCCUCGCGCGAUCGGAGCGGCCGAUGUCAGAUUAGGUAGUUGGUGGGGUAAAGGCUCACCAAGCCGACGAUCUGUAGCUGGUCUGAGAGGACGACCAGCCACACUGGGACUGAGACACGGCCCAGACUCCUACGGGAGGCAGCAGUGGGGAAUUUUGGACAAUGGGCGCAAGCCUGAUCCAGCAAUGCCGCGUGCAGGAAGAAGGCCUUCGGGUUGUAAACUGCUUUUGUACGGAGCGAAAAGGCUCUCUCUAAUACAGGGGGCUCAUGACGGUACCGUAAGAAUAAGCACCGGCUAACUACGUGCCAGCCGCCGCCGUAA
rnacentral:rRNA from 1 species